CUUCCCACUUCCACCAGGUAUCUGUUGUUAUAUUAAGGUGGAUGGCAAUGGUAAGUAUUGUAAUUUCUUUGACAUUGAUCCAAUGCGUUUUGGUGUGCAGAUAGUUCUGCUCAAUUUUUUAUUUUAUUUCAUCACUUGAAAGUUGUACUUUCUUUUGAAGGAUCUGGUGUCCCACAAAAUGGACUGGUGCUGAUGGGAGAAAAGAUAUGGUAAUCUUUGUGCAAAAUGCUGGACUGACAUCAUCUUUUCUAUUCGACAUCAAAAUACUGCCAUUCAGAUGAUAUGCAUGCUUUCCCAGCAAGCUUUGGCCUUAAAGGAGAGGCUCUGAGUUCUACUUCUAACGUUUCCUUGUUGAAAAUUGUUACUAAAACUCAUGGGAAAAUUUUGAUGGGCAAGUGUUUGCACCUUGGAAUUGAUGAUUGUAGACAAGAUGUUAGUACAACAGGUAGUUCUGUAUAAGGCUACUUGAGACAAGAGUUGACUAGUUUGACUGCUGUUUGCUACCCAAAGUGGGUGUCUUGCAUUCUCUGAAAAAGUCCCUACUAAGAAUAGCCCUUGUGCAUCCCAAUGUCUCCUGCAGUUUUGUUGAUAUUGAAAGUGAAGAUGACCUGCUUUGCACACGUGUUUCUCCUCCUCCGUUGCCGCUAUUGUCCAGUGGUUUUGGGAUUCAUCUAAGUUCCCUUAUAAAAUUGAAUGCAAGUGAUGGCUUAUUCAAACUAUCAGGAUACAUCUCAGGUCAGGGCCUGAUGUUUACACAGUGAAAGCUAUACAGGCCCAAAUUGAUGGAUAGGAGGUGUGAUAAGUUAUCUUUUCUAUACUUUGGUUCCCUUACAACCACUAUUUAAUUUGCAGAUAUCAAUUCAAGAUUUGUUUCCAAAGGACCAAGACAUAAAUUACUUAAUAAGAUCGCAAUGACUUUUGGCAGU